CAAAGAAGCCAUGUGUUGCGACAUGGCAUGCUAACUGUACCGAUGUGGUUGGGAUUUCCGGUGCACGACCUUCCAGGCAUGGCUGCACAGUGCUGACCCCCCCCUGGCAGCUUCAAUUCGACCAUCACUCAGCGCAGCACAAUUUCAGCCGGAGCCUCAGCCGGCCGAAUUAGGAGAAACAUAAACAAACAGCAGAACAGAGCGGAGAAAGAGGAUGGAGGCAGCGACGCUGGUCGCAAAAGAACAAGACAGAAACAUAAUAAGGGCAGAGAGAGGCAGCGAGAGAGGCAGCGAGUGGGGCAGCGGGCCUGUACUAGCCUCCACAGCCGGGGACUUGCAAAUGAACUAAUCACCUGAGGGGAUUCUUCUCAGCUUACUUAAACAACCAGAACCUUUUCCUGCUGCAGCCCCAUUUGGAUGCACUUCCCAGAAGAAGAAAAAACAUGAAGUCACUGACUAUCGGGUCAUUUCAAACAAGUCGGAACAAGCUCAAGUCUGUGGCACUCUGCAAUCUUCGUUAUACUCUGAGAAGCCAUGAGGAAACCAAUUACAAGAUGUGACUAAAGAGAAACAGCAGUUGGGGAAAGAAAAAAGAAAAGAGAAAAGAAAAGCAAUCAUGGAUCUAGAGCCAUUGUAAGGAAAUAUUAUUCUCUUAGC